rnacentral:rRNA from 1 species
UACGGAGGGUGCAAACGUUGCUCGGAAUCAUUGGGCGUAAAGCGCACGUAGGCGGUCCAGCAAGCGGGGAGUGAAAGCCCUCGGCUUAACCAAGGAAGUGCUUUCCGAACUACUGGACUUGAAUACUGAAGAGGAUCGCGGAAUUCCCGGUGUAGAGGUGAAAUUCGUAGAUAUCGGGAGGAACACCAGUGGCGAAGGCGGCGAUCUGGGCAGAUAUUGACGCUGAGGUGCGAAAGCGUGGGGAGCAAACAGG